rnacentral:rRNA from 1 species
UGAGGAAUAUUGGUCAAUGGACGAGAGUCUGAACCAGCCAAGUAGCGUGAAGGAUGACUGCCUUAUGGGUUGUAACUUCUUUUAUACGGGAAUAAAGUUCAGCACGUGUGCUGUUUGUUAUGUACCGUAUGAAUAAGGAUCGGCUAACUCCGUGCCAGCAGCCGCGGUAAUACGGAGGAUCCGAGCGUUAUCCGGAUUUAUUGGGGUUUAAAGGGGAGCGUAGGCGGAUGCUUAAGUCAGUUGUGAAAGUUUGCGGCUCAACCGUAAAAUUGCAGUUGAUACUGGGUGUCUUGAGUACAGUAGAGGUAGGCGGAAUUCGUGGUGUAGCGGUGAAAUGCUUAGAUAUCACGAAGAACUCCGAUUGCGAAGGCAGCCUGCUGGACUGUAACUGACGCUGAUGCUCGAAAGUGUGGGUAUCAAACAGGAUUAGAUACC